rnacentral:rRNA from 1 species
CAACCUGCCCAUCAGAGGGGAACAACAGUUAGAAAUGACUGCUAAUACCGCAUAUGCCUUAAUUACCACAUGGUAGUAGAGGGAAAGGAGCAAUCUGCUGAUAGAUGGGCUUGCGUCUGAUUAGAUAGUUGGUAAGGUAACGGCUUACCAAGUCGACGAUCAGUAGCCGGACUGAGAGGUUGAACGGCCACAUUGGGACUGAGAUACGGCCCAGACUCCUACGGGAGGCAGCAUG